UGCGGCCGCGCCCCGCCCCCAGCUCCCCGCACGCUGCCCCUCCCGCUCGUCUGUUCCGCUGGCGGCCCAGCGUGCUGGCUGUACAGCGUGCUGGCUGUACGCGUCACUUCCGGCUGUGUCGGCGCGCGAAAAAAGGAACCAAAGAGAAGUGAAGGAAUGUGUCCAAGGGCUCCCAAGUUGGCGGUGGAAUUAGAAUUGAAGCCUCAGCUCCAAAGCCUGUGUUCUGAACUACCCGGUUGCAGUUCACAAAAUACACUUUGGCAGUACUUUCAUAACGAAAACAAAUGAUUACAACCAGUUUACAAAUGCUUUGCUUUACUGGAGGAUCGACAUGUUUGACUAAUUUUCAAAAAU
rnacentral:antisense_RNA from 1 species